rnacentral:tRNA from 1 species
GGGGAUAUAGCUCAGUUGGUAGAGUGCUUGCUAGAGCACUUGCCUUGCAUGCACAAGGCCCUGGGUUCAUUCCCCAGUACCACA